rnacentral:rRNA from 1 species
AUUGAACGCUGGCGACAUGCCUUACACAUGCAAGUCGAACGGCAGCACGGGUGCUUGCACCUGGUGGCGAGUGGCGAACGGGUGAGUAAUACAUCGGAACAUGUCCUGUAGUGGGGGAUAGCCCGGCGAAAGCCGGAUUAAUACCGCAUACGAUCUACGGCUGAAAGCGGGGGACCUUCGGGCCUCGCGCUAUAGGGUUGGCCGAUGGCUGAUUAGCUAGUUGGUGGGGUAAAGGCCUACCAAGGCGACGAUCAGUAGCUGGUCUGAGAGGACGACCAGUCACACUGGGACUGAGACACGGCCCAGACUCCUACGGGAGGCAGCAGUGGGGAAUUUUGGACAAUGGGCGAAAGCCUGAUCCAGCAAUGCCGCGUGUGUGAAGAAGGCCUUCGGGUUGUAAAGCACUUUUGUCCGGAAAGAAAUCCUUGGCCCUAAUACGGUCGGGGGAUGACGGUACCGGAAGAAUAAGCACCGGCUAACUACGUG